rnacentral:tRNA from 1 species
GAUCAUAUAGCUUAUUUAUUUAGAGCAUGGCGCUGAAGAUGCUAAGGAGUUUUUUUACUUUGAUCA